UUUUUUUUUUUGGUCUUUUUCGUAGAUUCAGAUCUACACAAUUAGGAAUGAAAAGGGUAAAAUAUCAUAAAAGACCCUGCAGAAAUCUAGAAGAUCAUCUAUACCUACUUUAAAAAUUUGUAUUCUAAGUAGUUGGAAAAUACAGAAGAGACUUCCGGGAGAACAUGGUGGAUAGAUAGCAGCAGCUACGGAGGCUCUCUGAGAAACUGCACUUAAAAUCCAGGAAUGGUAUGGUAUGAGAAGUCCUAAGCAAGGGGAGAUACACCCUGCCGACCCAGGAAUGAACUAAGCUAAGAGAAACCAACUGGAAUCCAAUCCUGGUGCUAUAACAGGAACAGAUAAAAUCUCAUCGCAGGAAGCUAGAACCCGCGCCACUGGAAGCCGCGAUUUGAAUUUCCUGCUGCCGCUGCUGCAUCCAAAUCUUCAAGGCAAGGAGAGAGACGCGUGAUAGCUCUGAGAGCAGGAAUCUGCGGAGCUGAGAGCAGGACUAGCAGGGAGCCGUACAUCGACUUGUGAAAAUACAGAAGAAAUGGACAGAUCUCUAGAUACAUAUGAAUUAUCAAAGUUGAAUUAAGAAGAUAUAAAAAUCCUAAAUAACCCAAUGUCAAUCAGUGAAAUCAAAGAUGUAAUUAAAAACCUAUCAACAAAGAAAAGCCAAGGCCUGGCAGAUUCACUGCUGAAUUCUACAAGAAAUUGAGAGAAGAUCUAACACCAAUAUUUCUCAAACUCUUCAAUGAAACUGAAAGGGAAACAAUACUCCCAAAUUCAUUCCUGGAAGCAAGCAUGACCCUGAAACCAAAACCGGAGAAGGACUCAACUAAGAAAGAGUAUUACAGGCCAAUUCUGCUAAUGAAAACAGAUGCAAAAAUCCUUAAUAAGAUACUGGCAAACAGAAUGCAGCAAAUCGGAUUAUAUACCAUGAUAAAAUGGGAUUCAUCCCAAGGAUGCAGGGAUGGCUCAACAUAUGCAGAUCAAUAAAUAAAUAUAAUGCACAUAUUAACAGAGUCAAGGACAAAAAUCAUAUGAUCAUCAAUAGAUGCACAAAAGCUUUGGACAAAGUCCAGCACCCAUUCAUUAUGAAAAAGAAAACCUACAGAAAAGUGAAAUACAUGGUCUUUAUCUCAAUCUGAUAAGAACCACCUAUGACAAACCAACAGCCAACAUCACACUAAAUGGACAAAAAUUUAAAACUAUCUCUCUAAAACCAGGAACAAGACAAAGAUGUCUACUGCCUUCACCCUUAUUCAUAGUCCUGGAAAUAUUAGCUGGAACAAUUAGACAAGAGAAAGAAAUAAGGGCUGUGGAUUUAGCUCAGCCGCAUAAGCACCUGCCUUGCAAGCACGCAGUCCUGAGUUCGAUCCCUGGUACAAAAAAAAAAAAGAGAGAGAGAGAGAGAGAGAGAGAGAGAGAGAGAGAGAGAGAGAGAGAAACAAAUAAAAGAAACAAAGAUAGGAAAGGAAAAGUUAAACUACCGUUAUUUGCAGAUGACAUGAUACUCUACUUAGAAGACCCCAAAACACCACUUAAAAACUUACAGAUUUAAUAAACAAAUUCAGUAGCACAACUGGAUACAAAGUCAACACACAAAAAUCAAGUCUUCCUGUUUAUGAAUAACAAACUCACUGAGAGAGAACUCAGUGAAACAGUAUCUUUUACAAUAGUAUCCAAAAAAAUGAAAUACCUAGGAAUCAACCUAACAAAGAAUGUAAAAGACCUCUACACUGAAAACUACAGUACUCUGAAAAAGGAGAUUGAAGAGGAUAUUAGAAAAUGGAGAGAGAUCCUGUGCUCUUGAGUAGGAAGAACCAAUACAGUGAAAAUGGCCAUAUUUCCAAAACUGUUACACUGACUCGGUACAAUCCCAAUCAAAAUUCCAAUUGCAUAUCUCACAGAAUUAGAUAGAACAAUCCAAAAAUUUACCUGGAACCAGAAGAGAUCUAGAAUAGCAAAGGCAAUCCUGGGCAAAAAAGGCAAGGCAGGGGGCAACAUAAUUUCUGUCUUGAAACUAUACUAUAAAGAUACUUGAUAAAAACAGCAUAGUACUAGCAAAAAACAAACAACAACAAAACCCAGAUUGCACAGGAACUGUCACAAAGGAUCAACAACUGGGGUUUUAUCUUACUGAAAAGCUUUUGCACAGCAAGAGAAACUACCAACAGAGUAGAGAGACAACCGACAAUGUGGGAGAAAAGAUUUGCCAGCUAUUUCUCAAAAAAAGGAUUGCUAUCAAGAACAUAUAAAUAACUCAAAAAAUCAGUCCUCCCAUAUUUAAAGACCCAAUCUAAAAAUGAGCAUCUGAGAUGAACACACACAUCUCAGAUGAAGAAAUACAAACAGCAAAGAAAUAUAUGAAAAAAUGUUAACAUCACUGGUCAUUCAAGACAUGCAAAUUAAAACAACACUGAGAUUUUACCUCACCCUAGAAAGAAUAGCUAUUACUAAGAAAUAAAGCAAUAACAAAUGUUGAAGGAGCUGUGGUGAUAAAGGAACCCUUCUCCACUGGUGAUGGGAGUGUAGCCUGGUGUAACCACUGUGGAAAUCAGUGUGGAGAUUCUUCAAGAAAUUAGGAUUGAAGGUCCCAUUUGAUCCAGCUAUUCUCCUUGUGGGUGUCUUCUUAGAAUUAAAAACUUCAUACCACAAUGAUAUAUGUGUACCCAUGUGCACAGCAGCAGUUUGUAAAUAGGUAGAUCCUAGAAACAACCUAAAUGCCCAUCGACUGGGGGAAUGGAUAAAAACAUGCAGUACUUUUAUACAAUGGGGUACUAUUCGGCCAUAAAAGACAAACUGAAGACUUUAUAGGUAAAUGGAGACCAUACUCAUAAGUGAAAUAAAUCAGACAUGCAUGGGUAA